rnacentral:ncRNA from 1 species
UAAGGAGUCGCCGAAAACCUAUAAAAGAGUAGGCA